GACGAACGCUGGCGGCGUGCUUAACACAUGCAAGUCGAGCGGUAAGGCCCUUUCGGGGGUACACGAGCGGCGAACGGGUGAGUAACACGUGGGUGACCUGCCCUUAGCUCUGGGAUAAGCCUGGGAAACUGGGUCUAAUACCGGAUAUGACUCCAUAACGCAUGUUGUGGGGUGGAAAGCCUUGUGCGGCUAGGGAUGGGCCCGCGGCCUAUCAGCUUGUUGGUGGGGUGAUGGCCACCAAGGCGACGACGGGUAGCCGGCCUGAGAGGGCGACCGGCCACACUGGGACUGAGACACGGCCCAGACUCCUACGGGAGGCAGCAGUGGGGAAUCUUGCGCAAUGGGCGAAAGCCUGACGCAGCGACGCCGCGUGGGGAGU
rnacentral:rRNA from 1 species